GCGAGGCAGCCAGACGCCGCGGGGGCGGGGGGCGCGCGGAGGCCUCGGCUUCGCCCCGGGCAGGAGGCGGCCUGGGGGCAGCCACCGCCCUCCCCUGGCUUUCUCUGGGAGAGGGUGCCUGGGACACCGCUUUCUGACAUUUUUACAGCUCAGAGGUUCUUAAGAGUUUUGUUUCUCCAGUGGAAGUUAACAGGCUGACUUUGUAGGGACACGCAGCCGCCCAUAUAUGCGUGUAGUAGGGACCGAUUUGGAAGACUCGUAAGAAAACACAGCGUUCCUUAAGCAAACACGGGCGAUGGAUUUAAAUGCUCGGAAUUAGAACCAAUCAACGACUGCAGGUGAAAUGGCUUUGCUAACCGUAAAAUAUAUUAUUAUUCAACAUGAAAACAGGAAGUCCCCCGUGAGCACAUGAAUGCCUGCUGUGACACUGACAUCAUCAAUUCACCUAAUACAUGGGCACAGUUGGACCUGCCCCCAAAGCCUGUGAUUUGAGAAAACACAAGAAAACAUUCCCCUAGCCUCCAAAACACUUAGGCAAAAUAAAAUGAAAAUUGGGACAUGCUUCCUCAUGGAAUAUGGAGUAAUAUUUAGUAAGAUAAGU